rnacentral:lncRNA from 1 species
UCAAAUGAAGAAAAAUAAAAAAGAAUUUUAGAAAUUAGUUUAGGAUUUUUUGGAUGAAAAAUGAAAUUACUAUAAAUUUUAAAAGAAAAGAGCAAUUAAAAAUAAUAAAAGAAAAAUAAUAGAAAUAAGAAAAAACACAAGGCGUUUGAUUACGCCUCAUUAAUUGACGUGACAAAUCUAACACUCCAUAUAUUAGAGAACACAAUGGAACGCGCUGCAAGCCA